rnacentral:sRNA from 1 species
GCCGGGCAUGUGGCACAAGCCUGUAAUCCCAGGGUCUUGGGAGGCUGAGACAGGAGGAUCCUGAGUUCAAAGCCAGCCUCACCAACGGCAAGGUGCUUAGGAACUCAAUGAGACCCUGUCUCUA